rnacentral:miRNA from 1 species
AGUCAUGUGCUCGGUAAAG